rnacentral:rRNA from 1 species
AUUGAACGCUGGCGGCAUGCCUUACACAUGCAAGUCGAACGGCAGCGGGGGUGCUUGCACCUGCCGGCGAGUGGCGAACGGGUGAGUAAUACAUCGGAACGUACCCUGAAGUGGGGGAUAACGUAGCGAAAGUUACGCUAAUACCGCAUAUUCUGUGAGCAGGAAAGCAGGGGAUCGCAAGACCUUGCGCUGAUUGAGCGGCCGAUGUCAGAUUAGCUAGUUGGUGAGGUAAAGGCUCACCAAGGCGACGAUCUGUAGCGGGUCUGAGAGGAUGAUCCGCCACACUGGAACUGAGACACGGUCCAGACUCCUACGGGAGGCAGCAGUGGGGAAUUUUGGACAAUGGGGGCAACCCUGAUCCAGCCAUGCCGCGUGAGUGAAGAAGGCCUUCGGGUUGUAAAGCUCUUUCGGUCCGGGAAGAAAUCGUAUGGGCUAAUACCCUGUGCGGAUGACGGUACCGGCAUAAGAAGCACCGGCCUAACUACGU